UUUGAGAUGCUUCCGUGGCCACCAAUCCAUGGACUAGUCCGUGUUGGACGUCAAGUAAUUCUGACUACGACUAAGGACCGCAUCUUUCAUCUUACACGCCUUAUAAGAGCAGGGCAAUUCCAACAAGCUGAAAGUAAAAAGAACUUUCCAAAAUUUCCAAAUCCCAAAUUCUUCCAAUGGCCAAAAAUGAUCAUUCAACAGUCCAAAACCAAAUUGCUAGUAUUCAAGAAACACAUGAAGUAACUGUGGUGAUGGUUCCCCUUCCUUUACAAGGUCAUCUCAACCAACUCCUGCAUCUCUCCCGCCUCAUCUCCUCCUACAAUAUACCCGUUCACUAUGUUGGCACGGCCACUCAUACUCGCCAAGCAAAGGUCCGAGUCCAAGGUUGGGAUCCUCUCGCCAUUUCCAACAUCCAUUUCCACGAAUUUUCCACCCCUUCUUAUGAAGCUCCUCCUCCCGACCCAAACGCCCCAACAAAAUUUCCCACUCAACUCAUCCCAGUGUUGAAUGCAUCCGUCAAACUCCGGGAGCCAGUUCACGCACUUCUGCAACAACUUUCUAGCACAACGAGAAGAUUGGUUGUUAUUUGUGACUCUGUUACGCCAUAUGUCAUCAAGGAUGUGGGUUUAAUACCGAAUGCAGAGUCCUACACGUUUAUAAGUAUCUCAGCCUUCGCUAUUUACACGUUUUCUUGGGAACAAGAAGGGAAACCUAGAGUAUUUGAGCCUGAAAUACUUGAAGCACUCGAAAGUCUUCCAUCACAUGAAAGUUCUUUACCUCAGGAGGUGACAGAUUUCUUAAAAUUGCAAAAGGAAUCCAUGCCAAUUAUCUCUGGCGAUCUGUACAACACAUGCAGGUUUAUAGAGGGUCCGUACCUUGAUCUUCUUGCAAAAGCCAAAACUGCCGAUUCCCACAAGCAAUGGGCUGUUGGUCCCUUCAAUCCAGUUGAGAUCAAUGGGCAGAAAAACACAGAACAGAGACACUAUUGCCUGGAGUGGCUUGACAAACAAGGCCCAAACUCGGUCAUUUUUGUUUGCUUUGGUUCGAAUACUUCAGUAUCACACGAGGAAGCCGCGCAGAUCGCGAUUGGAUUAGAGAAAAGCGGGCAAAAGUUCAUAUGGAUACUGAAGGAUGGAGAUCAAGGAGAUAUCUUCAAGGAGAAGUUAGGAGAGCUCAGUUGCCCGGAGGAUUCGAAGAAAGAACUGAAGGAAGAGAAUAAUUGUGAGGGAUUGGGCACCUCAACUGGAGAUUCUUGGACAUUCAUCAACAGGUGGAUUCAUGAGUCACUGCGGAUGGAACUCGUGUAUGGAAAGCAUUAGCAUGGGAGUGCCCGUGGCAGCAUGGCCUAUGCAUUCUGAGCAGCCCAGAAACGCAAUAAUACUGGAAAAGGUGCUGAAGAUUGGUCUAUCAGUAAGGGACUGGUCUCGGCGGGACGAACUUGUGACAUCCAUGGCUGUUGAAAAUGCUGUGAGAAGAUUGAUGGAUUCAGCUGAAGGAGAAGAGAUGAGGCAAAGGGCAAAAGAAUUGAGCAAAGCAGUAAAGGAUUCUGUUAUGGAAGGCGGUACUAGUCGCUUGGAGAUGGAUUCUUUCAUUGCUCAUAUUCGUAGGUAGAUUUUCUGUUCAUCCAACAAAAUAAUUAUGUUCUUUAAUCAGGAGAAAUUCUGAUUAAUAAGGACUGUAACUUCUUGAGUUAGAUUAAGUGCAAUGAAAUCUUAAUUAGACUGCAGAAGAUCAGCUUUCUAACAGUAUUUCCAUUAAUUAAACACUUUGGCUCUCCUGUUGCGAUA